rnacentral:rRNA from 1 species
AUGGUUAAGUUAGAAAGGGCGCACGGUGGAUGCCUUGGCACUAGGAGCCGAUGAAGGACGGGACGAACACCGAUAUGCUUCGGGGAGCUGUAAGCAAGCUUUGAUCCGGAGAUUUCCGAAUGGGGAAACCCACUGCUCGUAAUGGAGUAGUAUCCAUACUUGAAUACAUAGAGUAUGA